rnacentral:rRNA from 1 species
AUUGAACGCUGGCGGAAUGCUUUACACAUGCAAGUCGAGCGGCAGCGCGGGGCAACCUGGCGGCGAGCGGCGAACGGGUGAGUAAUGCAUCGGAACGUACCCCGUCGUGGGGAAUAACUACCCGAAAGGGUAGCUAAUACCGCAUACGACCUGAGGGUGAAAGCGGGGGACCGAAAGGCCUCGCGCGAUGGGAGCGGCCGAUGCCGGAUUAGCUAGUUGGUAGGGUAAAGGCCUACCAAGGCGACGAUCCGUAGCUGGUCUGAGAGGACGACCAGCCACACUGGAACUGAGACACGGUCCAGACUCCUACGGGAGGCAGCAGUGGGGAAUUUUGGACAAUGGGCGAAAGCCUGAUCCAGCCAUGCCGCGUGAGUGAAGAA